GCCCCGGUAGCUCAGUCGGAUAGAGCGACUCCCUCCUAAGGAGUAGGUCAUGCGUUCGAAUCGCAUCCGGGGUA
rnacentral:tRNA from 2 species